UAGAAUUUGGUGUAGUUGGGAGCACGGAGAGUUUUGGGUUCUUAGGGGUAGGUUCAAUUCCUAUAAUUCUAG
rnacentral:tRNA from 1 species